AUGUAAUCCUUGCCUUGGAAUGCUGAAUUGUUAUAUUAUUUCUUUCUGGUAAGCAGUACAAUAUAAUGGGGAAAAGUAUAGAUUUAGUUCCAGACACGCCAUCCAGAAAGGCUAUGCACUAACUGCAUAACCAAGGGCCUGGAUGAGACACAGCUUUUCCAAGGGUCAAAGGAAAAUGUUUCUCUUCCCUCACUUCCGCAAUACACUGAUGACGUACCACCUGUUGACCAUGGAAAUUUUUCAUGGAAGAUGGGCCUUUCUAGAAACCGAGUCCCCGGAAAACUCUUGAGUUUACAGACCAAAUGCUUACAUUUUUAAAUCUUUUUUUUUUCCCCUUUCUUUUAAGAGAAGUCAAUUGUGAAAGCAAUGUUUGGUCAAGUGUUAUUUGGUCAAGAAAUGUACUAACUCCUUGUAAUAGAGCAUUCCAAGAACUUUACCCAUAAGAAAAUAAAUGUGCCUGUUUUCACUUAGA